AAAAAAAAAAGUGAAGAAAAUAUAUGAAAGUUUUAUAAUUCACAGUAAAAUAUUAUUAGUGAAUAGCGAAAAAUAGAAAGUAAACAACGGAAUACACAGAAUGCUAGGGCCUGUAGUCAUGCUGUUUAGUUGAAUGAAUAACAUCUUCAAGCGUUUUCUUUCUGUCAGAUGUGGUUUAAACAAUCCACAAGCACAUGGUGCACAGCCGGACGCUUUCUAUCAAAUGCAAUUGAAGACUGUUAGCAUUUCAACCCCAAACUAUAUAAAUCACUCUUCACAUACAAAUGACGUUGUCAAUUACUGGAAAUCAAUGAGGCUACUUGUUGCACCAUAGCUCAGUAAUAAAAAAAUAAAUGAGAAAAUAAGAUGCAAGCAAGAAAUAAGGGGAGGAGAGAUAAAAAAUGAUUGCGAUAUACCUGCACUAACAUGAUCGAUGUAUGUUGGAUUAUCUGAGGUUGGCUAAUUAUUAGCUAGACAACACUAGCAAUUCCCCAUCAACUACUUCUACAUCCUUCCCUCCUUAUUAUCAAUGGGAGGCUUUGCAACUGCAAAUCCAUAGUCACCGAGUCUGAACAGUAACAAUGAACUGGUGGGUGCAAUAAUAUCCAGAUAUCAAUGUUAACUUCAUGUUUGAUUACUUGAUGCUAGUGUGCCACUUACAAGGAUUCAGGACCUUCAUUUCAUGUUUGAUUUUCUUGCACACAAAUAAUCUUUAACGAUUUUUGCAACACAAAAUGAUUGGAAGAUGGGGUUUCAACUCUCUGAUGUUCAUUUUCUGACAGUUGUUAGCGCCAUUCAGCUUGUGUCGUUCA
rnacentral:misc_RNA from 1 species